rnacentral:rRNA from 1 species
GACGAACGCUGGCGGCGUGCUUAACACAUGCAAGUCGAACGGAAAGGCCCUGCUUUUGUGGGGUGCUCGAGUGGCGAACGGGUGAGUAACACGUGAGUAACCUGCCCUUGACUUUGGGAUAACUUCAGGAAACUGGGGCUAAUACCGGAUAGGAGCUCCUGCUGCAUGGUGGGGGUUGGAAAGUUUCGGCGGUUGGGGAUGGACUCGCGGCUUAUCAGCUUGUUGGUGGGGUAGUGGCUUACCAAGGCUUUGACGGGUAGCCGGCCUGAGAGGGUGACCGGCCACAUUGGGACUGAGAUACGGCCCAGACUCCUACGGGAGGCAGCAGUGGGGAAUAAUGCACAAUGGGAGGAAGCCUGAUGCAGCAACGCCGCGUGCGGGAUGACGGCCUUCGGGUUGUAAACCGCUUUCGCCUGUGACGAAGCGUGAGUGACGGUAAUGGGUAAAGAAGCACCGGCUAACUACGUG